rnacentral:rRNA from 1 species
CAAAUUCCCCUAAAGAACAGGUCGGGUCAUCGCGGAAAUAGCACCGGGUGGUCUCUGAGGAAGGAGGGGCGGCUAUGCCGGUAAGGGGUAGCGAAGGGUGGGUGAGGGUGUGCCGGUGGCGCUGGUGGUGAUAGGGCUAGAGGCCGGUGGCGGUGGCGGUGGCUGUGGUACAGCAGGUGGUGCCGUCCCCGGCGGGAGGAGGAGGCGGGGUGAAGGCGGUGCUGCUUGGGAGAGGAGGCGGAACAGUCGGGGACGGGGUUUAGGGUGGAGGAGGCGGAGGUGAGCGGCGCGGCGGCGGAGGGGCAGGAGGCGGAGAGGGAGUGCGGGGGCCGGUGGCGGCCGUCGUUAAGUCGCGGAAGCGGAAGGGGAGGCGGGGGCAGGCGGUGCGGGGGCGGAGGAGACAAGAGGUUGACCUGGGGCGGCGCGCGCUAGACCGCCCCCGAGAGCCGCGACGAGGAGCGUCCCGUCCAGAAGGUGGCGCAGGAGUGCCCUGCGCAGGUGGCGGCGUUGGAGGAGCGGGUCGAGGCGGCGCACCCGGGGCCCUCGCGCCCCCAGAGCGAGGAGUGGCGGCGGAAGCAGCCGUACCGGAAGUGGUAGGUCAAGCACGCGCUCAAGUGGGCGGAGCCAGAGGUGGCGAGGCAACCACCGCAGGAACGGGAGCGCGAGCGGGCGCUCGAGUGGGGCCAGCAGUGGCGACAGCAGCGACGGCCGGCUCAACCGAGGCGGAAACGGCGGCUCGAGCCGUGGUACGUCCACAGGCUCGUCUGGCUGUGGGAGGCGCAGGAGCCGAGUGUCGGGUAGCUGAUGGAGCACCAGGGAGCACAGGAGCGAACGCACGAACGCGAGGGACAGGAGUGCGAGUAGUCGAAGCGGGAGCCCGAGCGGAGGAGCCGCAAGAACCGGCUGCGGCAGAAACCACAUUCGUGGUCGUAGUAAGACCUCAGUCGUGCGUUCCGCGACGCAGGCACCCUGAACUAGUCGCGGAACUAUUUUAGAGUCCACAAGCCACGGUAAUAGCGCCACCACUCGACACGUACCCCACACUGUUGGGUGCCUCCUCGGUUCCCGCAACCGCUCAGGUGUUGCAGACGUCACCAGUAAAGGAAUCAACCCUAAAAGUAACGUCUGAAGCGGGAAAGCACGGACAAGAAGGUCCGACCACGACCACUAAGCGACUUCGUGCGUUACCCAAUUCCGUUCUGGUGUCUCCUCUUUUAAAACGCAGCAUCGUCGUAUUAAAUCCAGACAUGUAACUGGUUUCACAUCAUCACCUAAGUUCCUCCCGUCGUAACGUUGUAGUCGGUGCGAGGUCCACUUACUCAAUAAAAACAACACUAUAGGAAACCUUCAUUUGAUAAUACGGAAUACGUGUAAGACGUUAAAAAACGAGUUAACAAACGUAGACUAAACACAUAUCAGAAUGGUGGUGAACUUUUUUUCUUUAUUUUGAUGAACACAGGUUCAACGUGAACGAUUGUCUCUACAUUUCGUAAAAUUCUAGUCGAGUUCGCAAGUUCGCCGUGACAUUUUAUGUUUACAAAAAUCACUCUAUACCACGACACUCCUUUGAUGUCACUUAACCACUAGUCAUAACAACUAGUUAACGUUGCAACAUGAGGUCCUAUAGUGUAUGUAAUCCGGAAUAAUUCUGAUCACCGUUAAGAAAAGCUACGAAAUCAGUAGGAACCUACUCUUCUUGACGUCUUAAAAACAGCUGUAUAGACCCUUAUACACUCAACCUGCUAUCAGAAACAGUUCCGUUUGUUGCCGAGGAAACCGAAGGUCAUGCUCGACGUUCCUCAAGUUUUCCACUCUAUAUGUACCGUUACGAAUCUUUAUAUGAUCAACUAUUAUCUGGUGCUUAAACUCAUGGAACACAACCUUGUGAACCGUGUACGUGUUCUAACUAUCAUUUACGUAUGGAAUACUAGAACGUCACAGAGUUAACACACGCGUUUCUAGUGAGAAUGUGGAAACUAAACGGACUCGAAGUGGAACUACUGUUUGGACAGUGGUGAGACCGUUUUCAUCUAUUUGAAUAACUCAAAAGAACAUACUAUACCAUAUAGACUGCAUGUACUUAGACUGAUUCUUUUAGUACACAACCACUUGAUAUAAUACCAUAGAGAUAGCGUACUGGUCGUACAGAUAGAAUUAACUAUUUGAACUAGAAACAUAGAAUAUAAACAAUUUAGGAAUUCCUUAAAGUAAAGUCAAAGUCGUGGUCACCAGG